rnacentral:lncRNA from 1 species
GUAAUGGACCGCGUUCCUGCUCGUCUCCGCCCUCUACACGUGUGGGCUUCCGUGGUAAGCCCAACAUCCUCUUCAUUCAGGACCUGGCAGAAGAGUCUGAGAAACUACUUAUUACCAUGAGGACGUGGUUGAUGGCGAUUGACAACCCUGCCCACCUGCAUAAACCUUGCCCCUAUUAACACCAGGGGAAAAACCUGUGGGGAGGCCCAUUCUCACUCAUCGCAGCGCGUCUCCAAAGCUACUAGCGGACCACCCUCUAUUCCCUAACCCUUGGGGAAGACCGCCAGGAGCCCCAUCACCCCAUCCAACAGUGCCAGCUCUGUGCUUGUACGCCGCCUGUUUCUUCUACACUCAUCCUCUGGCUGGUGGAGGCAGCAAAUUCCUCCGCAUCUUUGUGAAUGAGACACCCAGGGGCUGAAUAUCAAGGAACAAAUGCAUUAAUCACGGCAGAGCCUGCGUGCCAAGGCGCAUAAAGACCACUGCUCCCAGCAGCGGCGAUAGCGUGAACCUUUCCACAGACCACACGCUCCGAAGUCGCUCUCUGAAGUCUUAUUACUGACAGCUAGUGGUCAAAGCUGACAUCUGUCAGAUGGCCGUGUCAUUUGGUGGUGAUCAUGAUUGUAGCAGGAAGAGGGAUUUUUCAUCAGAUUUUUUGACUUUAAAAUCUGGAUUACAUUGGAAACUCAACAUGCUUACAGGUUGUCACUCUGAUGAUGUUCCUUGUAAUGAAUGACAUUCAACUGCCGAUGAGUUCUUGAGACCAGAGACUAUUUUGGUACUCCUAGUGCAGGCCAGGCAUAGAGUAAGAAUUCAAAAUGUUUGCUGGCUUGAAUUAAAUUGAUGUUGGGCCACUAGCAGGUUGUGAGUUCUCCCACCUAUGUGAUGGUAACAGAUGUUCGUGCCAAGUGGACUCAUAACAAACAGGACUCCUGUCUCCACCAGUGAACUAGAAGAAGAAUGGCGUCAGAUGGGGUCGUCAGAAUGGUCCAAAAGUAAUUCCAAUUUGCUAGUGACAACACGAAAUGUUAGGUUCAUUUGUUUAUAUAAAGCUUUGCCAACUAUCAAUUUAACACCCAGAGCAUACAAAAUAAUGGCUACGUGUAUCUGGACAGAAGUUCCACUCGGCUGCUAAGUGUUUUGACACUGCAACCAGGAGCGGCUAAGGAGUUCAUAGGGCCUUUUGUCCGGACAAAGUUUGAGAACCCAGGAUUCCAGUUCUAGUAGCAGCUCUUCAACCAACCGCUGUAGGGCCGUGGGAAAGUCACGCAAUCUCCUUAUCACUCAUACCUGUCCCAUGAGGGGCUUCUCUGGGAUUACCAUUCUCAUUUCAAAAAUGGAGAAAGCCAGGUCAUUAUGAAGCGAUUUACCGUGCCCAGAAUCCUCUGCUGAACAGAGAAAUAGGGCUUGGGCCUUGGAGACAAGGCAGCCAUUUUUCAAAUUUAAUUUUCAAGUAAGUAAUAUAUUCACAUUGUUCAAAAGUUCUAUAUGUAGUGUAAAAAGACACUUCACCAAAGAGAAUAUAAGAAUGUCAAAUAAG